UAACUCUGCUAUUGUUGGUGAUUCAUCUAUUCUUACUCCUAAGAUGGUGCAACAGAUGAUUAUUUCAGCAUUUCCAGCCUUAGGGCUACAAGGAUCAGGUGUCGGGGAAGAUACUCGCGAAGGGGCCUAAAGUUGGACGUUUAUUUCCUCUGCAUUUUUCCAUUCCUAUUGUUCUUUCAUUUUCUUGUAAUAUUGUCAACAAUAAGGGUGAAGUAUGGCACAGACAGUUGGGUCAUCCUA